NNNUUUUUGGAAAUAAUUUAAAGUCUAAUCUAAUCUGCCCACUGAUAAAUAUAUUAAAGGGCUGCAGUAUUUUGACUGUACAAAGGUAGCAUAAUCAUUAGUCUCUUAAUUGGUGACUUGUAUGAAAGAUUGGAUGAAAUAUAAACUGUCUCUAAUUAAUUUAUAAAAUUUAAUUUUUUAGUAAAAAAGCUAAAAUAAUUUUAAAAGACGAGAAGACCCUAUAGAGUUUUAUAAUUUAUUUGAUUAUUAUUAAUAUGUAAAUUUUAAAAUUAAAAUUAAAUAAAUUAUUUUGUUGGGGUGACAGAAAAAUUAAAUUAACUUUUUUAAAUAAUUAACAUUAAUUUAUGAAUAAAUGAUCCAUUAAUAUUGAUUAAAAGAAAAAAUUACCUUAGG
rnacentral:rRNA from 1 species